rnacentral:rRNA from 1 species
GACGAGCGCUGGCGGCGUGCUUAACACAUGCAAGUCGAACGGAAAGGCCUUUUCGGAGGUACUCGAGUGGCGAACGGGUGAGUAACACGUGGGUGAUCUGCCCUGCACUCUGGGAUAAGCCUGGGAAACUGGGUCUAAUACCGGAUAGGACCGCACUUUAGUGUGUGUGGUGGAAAGUUUUUUCGGUGUAGGAUGAGCCCGCGGCCUAUCAGCUUGUUGGUGGGGUAAUGGCCUACCAAGGCGGCGACGGGUAGCCGGACUGAGAGGUUGGUCGGCCACAUUGGGACUGAGAUACGGCCCAGACUCCUACGGGAGGCAGCAGUGGGGAAUACUGCACAAUGGGCGCAAGCCUGAUGCAGCGACGCCGCGUGGGGGAUGACGGCCUUCGGGUUGUAAACUCCUUUCGCCAGGGACGAAGCGUUUUGUGACGGUACCUGGAGAAGAAGCACCGGCUAACUACGUG